rnacentral:rRNA from 1 species
CAGUAGCCGCGGUAAUGCGUAGGUCCCGAGCGUUAUCCGGAUUUAUUGGGCGUAAAGCGCGUCUAGGUGGUUAUAUAAGUCUGAUGUGAAAAUGCAGGGCUCAACUCUGUAUUGCGUUGGAAACUGUAUAACUAGAGUACUGGAGAGGUAAGCGGAACUACAAGUGUAGAGGUGAAAUUCGUAGAUAUUUGUAGGAAUGCCGAUGGGGAAGCCAGCUUACUGGACAGAUACUGACGCUGAAGCGCGAAAGCGUGGGUAGCAAACAGGAUUAGAUACCCCAGUAGUCCCUGUCUCUUAUACA